rnacentral:rRNA from 1 species
GAGUUUGAUCGUGGCUCAGGAUGAACGCUGGCGGCGUGCCUAACACAUGCAGGUCGAACGGAGUUUAUGAGGAAGAAGCUUCGGCGGAAUUCUUAUAAACUUAGUGGCGGACGGGUGAGUAACACGUGGAGAACCUGCCUCUUACCGGGGGACAGCAGUUGGAAACGAACUGAUAAUACCGCAUAAGCGCACGAGACCGCAUGGUCCUGUGUGAAAGAUUUAUCGGUAAGAGAUGGCUCCGCGUCUGAUUAGCCAGUUGGCGGGGUAACGGGCCCACCAAAGCGACGAUCAGUAGCCGGCCUGAGAGGGUGAACGGCCACAUUGGGACGUGAGACACGGCCCAGACU